rnacentral:rRNA from 1 species
GACGUAGGGUGCAAGCGUUGUCCGGAUUUACUGGGCGUAAAGAGCGCGUAGGCGGCUCGUUAAGUGAGAAGUGAAAGCUCUGGGCUCAACCCACAAACCGCUUUUCAUACUGGCGAGCUGGAGUGAUGCAGAGGUGGAUAGAAUUCCUGGUGUAGCGGUGAAAUGCGUUGAUAUCAGGAGGAAUACCCGUGGCGAAGGCGGUCCACUGGGCAUCAACUGACGCUGAGGCGCGAAAGCGUGGGUAGCAAACAGGAUUAGAAACCCCAGUAGUCC